GGAUGUGGCUCAGUGGUAGAGCUCUUGUCUGGCAUACAUGAGAAACCCUGGGUUCAAUCUCCAAUAUCACCCA
rnacentral:tRNA from 1 species